AGCAGCCGCCACGGUAAUACGAAGGGUGCAAGCGUUAAUCGGAAUUACUGGGCGUAAAGCGUGCGCAGGCGGUUUGUUAAGACAGAUGUGAAAUCCCCGGGCUUAACCUGGGAACUGCAUUUGUGACUGGCAAGCUAGAGUAUGGCAGAGGGGGGUGGAAUUCCGCGUGUAGCAGUGAAAUGCGUAGAUAUGCAGAGGAGCACCGAUGGCGAAGGCAGCCCCCUGGGCCAAUACUGACGCUCAUGCACGAAAGCGUGGGGAGCAAACAGGAUUAGAUACCCCAGUAGUCCCUGUCUCUUAUAC
rnacentral:rRNA from 1 species